UACAGAGGGUGCGAGCGUUAAUCGGAAUUACUGGGCGUAAAGCGUGCGUAGACGGUUAUUUAAGUCGGAUGUGAAAGCCCCGGGCUCAACCUGGGAACGGCAUCCGAUACUGGCGGGCUUGAAUCCGGGAGAGGGAUGCAGAAUUCCAGGUGUAGCGGUGAAAUGCGUAGAUAUCUGGAGGAAUACCGGUGGCGAAGGCGGCAUCCUGGACCGGCAUUGACGCUGAGGAGCGAAAGCUAGGGGAGCAAACGGG
rnacentral:rRNA from 1 species